UACGGAGGAUCCAAGCGUUAUCCGGAUUUAUUGGGUUUAAAGGGUGCGUAGGCGGAUUGAUAAGUUAGAGGUGAAAUGUCCGAGCUCAGCUCGGGAACUGCCUCUAAUACUGUUGAUCUAGAGAGUAGAUGCGGUAGGCGGAAUGUAUGGUGUAGCGGUGAAAUGCUUAGAGAUCAUACAGAACACCGAUUGCGAAGGCAGCUUACCAAUCUAUAUCUGACGUUGAGGCACGAAAGCGUGGGGAGCAAACAGG
rnacentral:rRNA from 1 species